UGGGGAAUCAGAGUUGCUAACAUUAUUAUUCAAAUUGGUUGUGUUCCUCAAUUUCAUUGAAAGAGUUAUCAUGGCAGCUUAUGGUGCUCUGGUUUCUAUUAUGCAUAUUAUAGACACACUUCACAAACACCCUUCCCCUCCCAUUUCCAUCCCCAAACCACAACUUCAUUCUCUUACUCAAAAUGUUACCUUCUUGCAAGAGUUUCUUGAUACUUAUAUUUCCCCUUUUGCCGAUAGCUGAAGCUGAUCCAUUGGAGCGUCGCAUUGCUGAUGCAGUUUAUGCAGCUGAGGAUAUUAUUGAAGCCCAAAUUGUGGUUCAAAUUCAUAAACGAUCCACAUCUGUUGAAGAUCAUAGCUUUUACACUAAUCUACAAAAUGUGAUAGAAGAAAUGGAUCUGAUCACGAAAGAGGUGCAAAAGAUUGGAGUCGAAGCUCAGCUGCAGCAAAAGCCUGUUGCUCCCUUGACGACGUCGUAUUCCACCCAAAACGUGAUGGUGGGCUUUGAACAGGUGUUUCUUGAAGUUUUGGAUGAGCUCACUCGGGAUCAACGCAACCGCCAAAUCAUCCCUAUCACGGGGAUGGGCGGAAUUGGUAAGACCACUCUUGCCAAAAGUUUAUUUGAGAGUGGACUUGUUAAGGAGCAUUUUGAUAUUCGUGCUUGGACUACAAUUUCUCAAACUUAUAAUGUUAGAGAAACACUUGGGCAAGUUUAUUUUCAAGCAAGUGGGAAUGAAGAUUUAAGCCAUUUGAAUGACAAUCAAUUGGGAGAGAGAUUAUAUAAGUUUUUAUAUGGCAGGAGGUAUCUCAUAAUAAAGGAUGAUAUGUGGAGUGUGGAUGUGUGGGAAAAGAUAAAAUCUUUCUUUCCUGAUUGUGGAGAUGGGAGUAGAAUAAUUAUAACAACUAGGAUGUCAAACUUGAGCGCUCAAUUGAAUGAGUCUCACAGGGUUGAUAUGGAGUUUCUGGAUGAGGCUAGUAGUUGGGAUUUGUUUUCUAAGACUGUAUUUGGGAAAGAGAGUUGUCCUAUUGAGUUUGAGAAUAUUGGCAAGAAUAUUGUAGCAAAUUGUAAAGGGCUUCCUUUAUCAAUUGUUACGGUUGGAGGAGUUUUGGCAAAAUCUGAGCACACGAGAGCAUAUUGGGAGCGUGUAGAUCAAAAUUUGAAUUCAAUUGUUAAUAGUAGCAACGAUGAUUUGUGCUUGAGAAUAUUGAGGAUGAGCUAUAUCUAUUUGCCAAACUAUUUGAAGCCAUGUUUUUAAUAUAUGUCUGUCUUUGAGGAAGAUUGUAGGAUCCGUGUAGGAAAAUGUUUGGAAACAAUUGCGCAAGAGUAGUUUAAGGAAUUGGUGGAGAGAAAUCUGAAUUUAGUUGAUGAGUUGGGGUCAAUCGGAAAGGUUAAGUAUUGUAAAAUCCAUGAUUUGUUGAGAGAUAUGUGUUUGAGAGAAGCUGAAAAGGAAAGGUUUCAUUAUGUCAUAAGAGAUGAUCCUCCAUCAAAUAAUUCCGAACGCCGGGUUGUUUAAAGCUCCAAAUUUGUUAACAAGUGAAGUUUUGGGAUCUUUGUUAUAUGCUCGCUCCUAGAGGCUGCAAUAACAUUGUUAUCAUGGAGAAUCUGCAAAGGAAUAAAGAAUUUGAUGUUGGAUGAGGAGGUGGUUAAAAGAAUUCCUAAUGUGAAGGUGUUGCAUAUAAGCUACCAUGGGAAACAAAUGGGGGAAGAAAAAUGUGUAAGAUAUCUUCUAUGUUUGAGUAAAUUGGAAAACUUGCGCUUGUACAACCAUGAUGGAAGUGAGAAAAAGGAAGAGCCGCAAACAACUGUAGGGCAUUUCCAGAUCCUCAAGUUUGUGGAGCUGUGGUGGUGUAAUUGUUUAGAAGAUUGGAUUGUCUCAUGCAACAAUAAUAGUGGAGGAACAAGAGAAUUUAUACAGAAACCAACCUCCAUGACUCGAACCCCUAGCCUGUUGAUUGGAUGAGAAAUAUCUUACCAAUCGAGUUACGCUUCAUUGUCAAAUAACUAAGGUUCGUACACCUAGAGAUUCGUUGUUUUCUUUUCAUCUCCUCUAAAUAUAAGAUUUUCUUUUUUCAAUUUCUAUCCACUGAGUUAAUCAUAUAGUUUAGUGGGACGGAGGGAGUAAGUAUUUGUUGGGUAGGAGGUAUCCAUUCUAAUGGAUGAUAUGUAACGUAUAUAGUUAUGAAACAAGAUCAUAUUUUCGAACCACUCCCAUCCUAAUCUUCAACUUGAAUCUGUUAUGCCAGCAACCAUAUCAAAGACCCCCUGUCUGUAUUAGCAAGAUGCAAAGUCUACAAAUGUAUUUUUGUACAUCCUUUAAAAGGCAAAGGGAGAACUCCCUUGUCUUCCCUAUUUCAAGGUCAGAAAUA